rnacentral:rRNA from 1 species
UCACUGCUAUCGGGGUUCGACUAAGCCAUGCAAGUCGAGAGGGGAAGCCCUCGGUGAACUGCUCGUAACACGUGGACAAUCUAACCUAUGGAAGGGGAUAAUCCCGGGAAACUGGGGAUAAUACCCUAUAGACUAUGGAGGCUGGAAGCACUGUAGUCGAAAGGUCCGCCGCCAUAGGAUGGGUCGCGGCUGAUUAGGUUGUUGUGGGGUAACGGCCCACAAGCCUGUAAUUGGUACGGGUUGUGGGAGCAAGAGCCCGGAGAGGAUUCUGAGCACGAAUCCAGGCCCUACGGGGCGCAGCAGGCGCGAUG